GACGAACGCUGGCGGCGUGCUUAACACAUGCAAGUCGAACGGAAAGGCCCUGCUUUUGUGGGGUGCUCGAGUGGCGAACGGGUGAGUAAAAAGUGAGUAACCUGCCCUGGACUUUGGGAUAACUUCAGGAAACUGGGGCUAAUACCGGAUAGGAGUUCCUGCUGCAUGGUGGGGGUUGGAAAGUUUCGGCGGUUGGGGAUGGACUCGCGGCUUAUCAGCUUGUUGGUGGGGUAGUGGCUUACCAAGGCUUUGACGGGUAGCCGGCCUGAGAGGGUGACCGGCCACAUUGGGACUGAGAUACGGCCCAGACUCCUACGGGAGGCAGCAGUGGGGAAUAUUGCACAAUGGGCGGAAGCCUGAUGCAGCAACGCCGCGUGCGGGAUGACGGCCUUCGGGUUGUAAACCGCUUUCGCCUGUGACGAAGCGUGAGUGACGGUAAUGGGUAAAGAAGCACCGGCUAACUACGUG
rnacentral:rRNA from 1 species